GUCUCUGUGGCGCCAUUGGUUAGCGCGUUCGGCUGUUAACCGAAAGGUUGGUGGUUCAAGCCCACCCAGGGACG
rnacentral:tRNA from 1 species